rnacentral:rRNA from 1 species
GACGAACCGUGCGAACGUUAUUCGGAAUCACUGGGCUUAAAGCGCGUGUAGGCGGCCCGGCACGUCCGUCGCUGAAAUCCCCCGGCUCAACCGGGGAAGUGGCGUGGAUACGACCGGGCUGGAGGGGGGUAGGGGGAGCCGGAACUUCCGGUGGAGCGGUGAAAUGCGUUGAGAUCGGAAGGAACGCCCGUGGCGAAAGCGGGCUCCUGGACCCCACCUGACGCUGAGACGCGAAAGCGUGGGGAGCGAACAGG